AGUAAAGUCAGCUAAAUAAGCUUUUGGGCCCAUACCCCAAACAUGUAAGCCAAAUACUUACCUUUGCUA
rnacentral:tRNA from 1 species